GCACGCAUAACCUAGUGGCGUAGCGUCUCGUCUUCUUAGGCUUGAACAUCCGAGGUCCUCGGACCUCAAACGUUAACAAAUGGGAAGAUGGGGCAGCGACAAUCGCUGGUUCGACUCCAGCUUCGUGCA